AAUAUCCACUCAAUAAUAUGAAAACACGAUGAAAACAAACGAACCAGCAGCAGAAAAGAAAUUUGAGUAUAAGAUUAUUGAAAGAUUAAUUAAUGAAGACUUAAUGGAACAGGAUUGGAAUGCAGAAACUUUGGACUUAAUUCAUGAAUAAUAUCAAUGGAUGAUGAAGAAAACUGACCAAACUGACAAAGUAUUUCGUAUGCAUGUUAACUGGACAUUUUUGUUUGUUUAAUGCACAAUAAACAAAUUUGUAAAAUUGAAAAUUAAAACCAUUUGUGAAAGAUUUCAAGAGGACCAAAAGUUACCAUGGACUUAUGAAUGAUUUAACCAGAAAAAUGAUUUACAUGUACAAUUAAGUAAAUACAUCUUUGACUAAAAAAUGAUAAUUUAUCAACGUUAAUAUUUUCGUUUAAAAGGUCUUAAAUGUGGAUGAUGUAUAAACUGUUGUAAUUUCUUUAAUUGUUGACUUGCAUUAAAAUGGUUAUUGUCUUA